CUUGAGAAGAGGUUGGUAAAAGUUUCUCUCAGAUUUGGAGUUGAUCUGAGGUCGUUUGAGGUGCGGAUGAGAUCUCCAUCAACAGAUCUACAGGAAAGGCUGCAGCAGGACAGAUCUGCAAGGUCUGGUUCUAUCUACCUUCUUCCCUAUCUAAAAUAUCCUGAUUCGAGAUCUACAAAUUGAAAGACCUCGAUCCAGGCC
rnacentral:lncRNA from 1 species